AACAUUUUUGGCUUUCUAGAAUAAAUUCUCAUUUAUGGAUUAAUUAGCCGUUAAUUAACCGGGUCUUACAUUCUACCCACCUAAUUGGGAAUUUUGCCCACAAAAUUCAAAUGCAAUUACCUGAGAAUAAGUGCGGAUAAUCCGUUCGCAUCUCCGACUCAAGUUCCCAAGUGUGUUCCUCAACACCGCCUCGACUCCAAGCCACUUUGACUAAUGAAACCUCUUUUCCA
rnacentral:lncRNA from 1 species